CUGCUCCUCUCGCACUCACCGCCCCCUUUCCUCUUCCUCCUUCCUCACCUCUCUCUACCCCUCGACCGUGCUCGCCUCCCUGCCCCGCCGCCAUCCAGAUCGCUUCCGCUCGCCCUCGCGUCGCCGUGUCCUCUCCUCCUCCCUGCCCUCUCGGUGCAUGCUCAGCGGGACGAGCGCGGCUCGCUGGACCUAGCGCGCAUCUCUGGCGUUGUGCGCUGUGGUUCUGGUCCGGUCGCAGGUCGCCGCCAUGGGAAAGCACGGGCUGAGUGGUACUCCCCGUCUCCCCUCUGUGCCCUCUCUCUUCCCCGACCUCUUUCUCUUCCCGCGUUCUCGAUCUUGUGCCACCACACAUCCUGGUUCUGGAUCUGGCUCAGAGAGCAUGGUUGGUGUGGUCUUCAUGCUUGGUGAGGAGGAGCAGGGGAGGGUGAGUAGGACGGACAUGGGGAAGGAGCAGCCAGGCCGGAGCUCCGGCGUCGCUCGCGUCAUGGUGGAAUGGAGCCGACCAUCACUAUGGGCUGCAGCCCGCCAGUCGUCGUACCCCAAUCUCUGUUGCACAUCUUUGGAUUCACCAUCUUCCUCCCCUGUUUUUUUCUACCUCUUGCCCCCUGGUUCUUUAAUAUAAUUUGGAUUUCUUGUUUUAUGUUUUUACUAAACAGGGCAAGUAUGGGAGCUCCAGUAAGGCCAACGUUUAGGACCAGUCCAUGUCCGAGAUGACAUUUGGGAGGGUGUCCAAUUUCAUCGGAUCUUUUGCAAUGUUUCCUCAGAAGGAUGAGCCUAGAGGUACCAGAAUAUUACUAUUCAAUCUCUUCUCAUUUUUCUGUAAGAGUAGAUACAACGUACUGUAUUGGAUAUGCUAACUCGUUUUGAGGGAGACAGAAAAUCUGUGUUGGUUCCUGGGAAUCACAUUGUUCAAGAUAAAACCAGCCAAGUAGUUUUCUUUGAUGUUCUUUGUAUUAGAUUAAUAAAUCUUGUUUCUAGCAAUGCUCUAUUCUAUUACAAUCUUUUAGAGUUAUAGUAGCCGGAGAUUCAUUUUCAAGUUUGAACUCCUAUCCUGUUAUUUAUGUUUGAGCAUGUUCUUCUUAUUUCUGUACCAGUACUCUAAUUUAACUCUCAGGAGCUCCCAAGAAAAAGAAGGCUUGUUGCGUCCUAAUAAAGGAUCUCCUUGCUUGCGUGUGCUUGUGCUGGUGGUUUGCUUCCUGCCUACUGCUUUGGGACAGAUAUAUAUGCAUGUUAGUUCGUCUCUGAUGUUUGUAGGGUGUGCCCAGUUUUCUUAGCUUCUUACUAAUUCUUGAUUCCAGGAUCCAGUAGACUAGGUUAUCAUUGUUUAUAUAUGCCCAAACCAAUGCAUGUUGUUGUAAUAUAUGUGCUUCAGAAUCUGGCAGCGCACCUCUUGUUGUUUACAUAUGCAAAUAGUAAUUCUUGGUCUCACCCAUUGACCCAUAUGAGGUAUAGUUGUGAGAAUCCUGACUUUAAGGUGGAGAUUGCUGAUGUGAAAUGGCGGCGUCACAAGCCAGAAGGUGACCAUGGAGACCAUAAACAGACCAGCACCCAGCGCUCAGUAGUAGCAAUCCAACAUAAAUGCACAGAACAAGCACGAGGGGACGCACGCAACAGCAAGCACAGGGAAUAGAGGUGGAUAUAUAGCCAUGACGAGAUGGUUGUUUUUCGUACCUGUGGCGCGAGGAGCGCCGGUAGGAACUUUGUCGUAAGCACAUGGUUUUCACUUUCAGUGAGAUUUCGGUGAAAUUCACUGAAUGUCAGUCAUUUCAAUAGACAUUGAAAUAAUUACGUUUCGGUCAAAAUAUUUCAGCAAUUUCAGUAGUGCACAAGAAUUUAAAUAUUUUUUAAAAUAUUUUAAAAAUAGUUCAAAAAUUAAAUUGAACUCAAGUGAAUAUUUCAGUCAUUUGGCUGAAAUGAAAACUGAAUUAACUGAAAUUCACUGAAUUUCGGUUGAUGCUGAAAUUUUCCUCAAACUGAAAUUGAAAACCAUGCGUAAGCACAACGCUGAAUCAGACACAAUCACGGUCAUUGGGGUGCGCGCUGGGUCGGCACCCCGCGGCUGUAUACAAGCAACCGGUGUGCUGUCCUCGUUUGGCCUAUCUAUCAGCAUUAUAUCUCCUUCAUCAAUUAUUGUUCUCAUAUUUCGUUUUAUGAAGGCUAGGAACUAGGCCGAAAUAUGCAGAUGUCUUAAUUGUUGCUUUUCUUAGUGCAGAUAUGGAAGAUCUAAAAGCCUCUCUGAAAGAUUUUUGUUCUGCAGAAGCCAAUGAUCUGGCACACUAGGACCUUAACUUCUGGAGUGAACGACUGCGGGAAGCAAAAUACAAUAUUGAUGAGAAACGGUUAUAACACACUUUUCUUUGCAAGCUGGAUACGAAGAGAAAUAUGUUAAAUGGACGGAAGAAAAAAAAUAUUAGGUAAGUGUUAGCAAGUCUGUGCUGGAUGCAGUGCACGGCCACGCCAAAUCCACACUGGUUGAGGAGGUGGCUCUGCAACUUGGAGUCCGGCAUAACGAGCUCUUCAUCACAAUUAGCUUGAGAUGAUGCAAGCGUUCCUCAUGGCUGUCCAGGAUGAGAGAUACGAUGCACUGAUGUAGUUUUGUAACCAAUCAUGUCUUUACACAGGCUUGCUAACCUACAUGUCUUUUAUCAUGUAGUUUACUAUUUUUAGGUAAACUUUCAGAGAAAACACAUAGUCUAAUUUUAAGGUGAUUAUGUCUGAUUGGUCUAAGUAGAUGGCAAAAGCACAUAUAAUUAUACAUCAUGGAUUGCAUAUGGACGAGAAUUUUGCUUGAGCCUUUGCUGGUGAUUCGUAACAAAAUACUCGAUAGUGGUUUGGCAAAUAUAGGAUUAAGCAUUAGACACUUCAUAUCUGCCCUUAAUAUCAAGGAAACGAGAUACUGUUGUGACAUUUAUUUACCCUACAACUCUGUUAUUCAGCAAUGGUAGUACGAGUCUUGGUACUGUUAUUACCUUUGUAGUGGAUAUAAUUAUUCCUGAAUGCACACGACAUCCACUUUUCUUGUUAAUAACUCAUAAUUGUGUGCUACUUUUUUCAGUACUACCGUCAGGUACCUGUGUUCUCUACCUUGUUAACCAGUAUGUAUGUGUAUACAUUUUUGAAUGAUUAGUGAGCUAGACCAAGAAGUGAGCAACAAUGUUUAUAUAGCAGGAAUUGUUGUUUUAUGCCUAAUAUCACGAAAUUUACCUAAAUAAUGAGUCUCGCAUUGCUAUUGUGAAAUGUCAUAUGAUGCAUGUGUCACUGAAAGGUUGAAGUAUGUGUGUAGGGUCCUUAUUCAUAGAUGAUCUUGAGCCUGUAGGGUCCUUGUUCAUAGAUGAUCUUGAGCUGUGGAGCUAUAGGCUGUAACAUCACGACCGCUUGCAGCCAACAAAGAGUUGGUCCAGCCAUGCUUUCAGGAAAUAUUGCUCCUUUGUAUCCUUUUCGGUUCUCAUUCCCUUUGCUUGACCCAAUUGAACUUUUUGUAGGAAGUGGUUUGUUCUCGUAAGUAAUGUUGGAGAAGAUUCUAUAUUUGUAGUGAUCACAAGAUGAAAACAUCAUCGACCUAAAUCUAGCACCCGCAAUGGAAAUCACAUAGCAGCAAAAGAACUUUACCGUAUAAUAUAUGCCAACUUCACAUGAGGAUCAACAUACAAAGAUAACAAUUUAAAUCAUGUCUUGUCACAGGUAAGAUAUGUUGUUGUUGAUCGUCUAAAUGAUGCAACUACACAGUCAGAGUAUGAUCUCCAACAGACAAACAUAUAUUAUUGGAGCCUGGACGAUGAUAUUGAAGGAAUCUCUGCUUGAGGUAAUGAUGGACCGCCAAUGGAUAUUUAGGGCAUACAUAUCAACUGCUCUGGCUGAUGCUCAUCGGCUCAUAACUACAACCAUCUAUACGGUGUACCAAUACUAUGUAUCAGCACGGGGUUCUCUUAAAACACUAUGUAUCAAAACUAAGUUUCUAUUUGCUUAUGCUCAUUGUAAAUUUCUUAGAACAGUAUGUGUCAGCACUACGAGAUCAAUAUAUGCUAUCAUCAAGUAAUAUCA